rnacentral:lncRNA from 1 species
AAUUGAAGCAUGUUUUUUCUUAUCUUUUUUCAUUGCUUUCUUUUGAUCUCUAGGAACGAAGAAAAAACCAACAGUUCUAUGCAUGCAAUUUUUAAAAUUUUUAGUAAAAGUAGUUUAGAUUAAACUAUUUAAUCUAUAUUAUAUACAUAAGAUCAUAUCUAAACUACUGAUAAAGGAUAUAUGACAUGAGUUUACAUAUAAUUAAAAUUUAAAAUUAAAGAAAAACUUGUAUUGAUCACAUCGAUGCCCU